AAUAAAAUAUUUAUUUUCAUAACCAUCAAGUUUAUAGCAACGACUUAAUAUGCUCUUCGAAUAUUAAGACAAAUAUAAAGCCCUAAUAAUUCCGUCUACAUCAAACCUAGGCUCAAUUGUUAACUUCGCCAAUAUUACUAAGCCAAAUUAUUACCGCCAAUCCCCUUUCAAUUUCAAUGACAAAAACUUGGUAUUAGAAGUAGUAAGAUUUGUUUUUCUUUGAAUGAAAUUGCAUUUCUCAUUACAAAAACAAAACCCCUAUACGAAAAAAAAAAGAACAAUAAAGAAACCUCGAUUUGUAUUCAGGUGUUUAAUGAAGUGUCAAAUACGGCAAUCCUGUUUUCCUGUAGCAUUGAAAUAAUUCCGCUUGUAUCUAUUGUUUUGUUGGCGACUUUUGAUUCAUGGCGCAAUGUCCGUGAAGCGUUAUUUCUAAUUUUUCAUUGAUGUGGAAAAGGAGCUGUUUUAAGUCUUACGGCAUUUUACACAGCUACUCGUAUACAUAUUUAACUAAAAUUUGAGAAGACUAUCGUAUUACUGAAAUUAUGGGAUAUUUUUUCUUCAUCCUUGAAUGUUUGUGAAAUCUUACUGUACUGUGAUUUGCUAUGAAUAAUUUAAGUCUCACUAUGUAAAAUGGAUUAAAAAAAUUGUUAAAGAUGACUGCUGGCAGCUCCCAAUACAACUCGACGAAGAUUGAAGAAGUGUCUCAACUUAUCGAAGAAAAAAAUAUCGAAAAUAGUUUUUAUAUAGAAGGACUUGUUGGUAUAUCGAUAUGCAGCUUGGUGAUUAUUGCUCUCAUUGCUGUUUUGUUAUAUUAUAUCAUCCCUUGGCAUAAGUGACUGCUUAAAAAAAUGAACAUUUGCAAAGACAUCAUGCUUCAUCUGACUUGCUCAUCAUUUAAAAUAAUUCAAUACCAUUUGAAAUGAUUGCUAUAAAAUAAAGUGCUUAAAAAUUG